GAGGGUAUAGCUCAAGUGGUAGAGUGUGUGCCUAGCACUCAGGAGGUCCUGGGUUCAAUCCCCAGCACCUCCU
rfam:Camelus ferus unplaced genomic scaffold scaffold263, whole genome shotgun sequence.